AGCUCCAGUAGCGUAUAUUAAUUUUGUUGCAGUUAAAAAGCUCGUAGUUGGAUUUCUUUUAUGUUAAUGCGAUCGGGUGCAGUGUCCUUUUAGGAUGCCAUCUUCCUUUAAUAUAAAAUAUAUUGUAAAUUUCGCAUCUGUGGAACUUUCCUGGUGCUUCAUUGCGUUGGGAGGGUGAAACUUGUGCAUAUGUGAUUUGCAUCAUUUACUGUGAAAAAAUCAAAGCGUUCAAAGCAGGCUUUAGGCUCUCUGAAUGUCUCAGCAUGGAAUAAUAAGAUAGGUCUCAUCCUCAUUUUGUUGGUUUGCAAGGAAGAGAAAUGAUUAACAGGGACAAUUGGGGGUAUUCGUAUUAGAUUGUCAGAGGUGAAAUUCUUGGAUUUAUUUAAGACGAACAACUGCG
rnacentral:rRNA from 1 species